GUGUUAAAACACGGAAAUGUUAUUGUUGUGGACAAUUGAACAACAGUGAAAUUCUAUUAAAAAAUAAUUUGAAAAUGAGUCAGAUUGAAUGGGCUAUGUGGGCAAAUGAACAGGCUGUUACAACUAGCUGUGUGCUUCUGGCUGGAAGUGCCAUCUCUAUAGCAGGAAUGUUCAAGUACUGGCAGAUUGGAAUUUAUGGAGCAAUCAUUAGCCUUUUAAUAGCUGCUCUGGAAUGGCCACGCAGUAAGAGGAAGAAAGGAAGCACUGUGGAACGAAGGUUUCAGCGUCCGUUUGCUCAGUUUGUCAACAAACUAGGAGUGUUAGGCAGGAACUACUUCUUCAGAUUUCUUGUAUACCUGUUACUGUGUGUGCCCUGCUGUUUCACUCUGGCCACUUUGCUUGGAGGAAUAUGCAUGAUUCUUACAGGAGCAAUAUACUUCAUUGCUGCAAUCAAGGGGGAGGAAUGGAUGGCAUCUGGACAAGACACAAGUGACCAGAAAGCUGUCAACACCAUACAGCCACCAAAGAAACCACCGCCACGACCCAGUGCCCAGAACAACAUUGAAGAAAGGUCAUUAGAGGGCGUUACUAUGGAGAUAGCGGAGGAGGGGGCAGGGGCCAGUAGGGCAGGGGCACGCCCAGUAAGGCCCCCACCGCGACCAAAAGGGGCUUCAGCCGAUGUUAUACACGAUGUAGGAACUUAAAGAGUUACUUGGUGGAAUGAUUUGUAGCUGAGAUUAUUAUACAAGUUGAUGUAUGUUUGUUAAGGCCUUUAUGGGUUUAACAUUUGCAGUCUUUAGGCCAGUUCAUAAAAACAUUGGCAAGUUAUGCUCAGUAAAUGUUGCAAUUAUAUUUUAAAUGUUUUAUUUUACCAAAUUUCUACAUCCAAAGCAUAUUUUAAUUUUUACAUCUUUUUUUAUGUCCCAGAAUGGAUGCAUAUAGGGAUUGCAUCGUCCUCCCAUCUGUCUUUUUUUUCUGCUUUUUGUUAAGAGUAUAGUAUGGUUCCAUGGGUCAACAAUUGGUUUUGGGUCAGAACCAUUUUUUUUAAAUCUGUAACAUUUUGGUAGGGGGGGGGGCUAUCAGAAUUCACAUUAUUUAAUAUGCAAAAUAAAACUAUAUUUUAGUCAUCAGUUUUCUUAAGCACAUUACAUAUUUGACUGUCUGCUAAUGCAGGUUUAUAGAUUGUUAAUCUGUAAGCAGAAGUAUUAUUAUUAAUCAAAUAAUGACUAAAAUACUGAAGCACCCAGCUAUUUAUUAUGUCAUUCCAAAUGUAUAAUUUACUGACAAGGAGUGUAAAAGACACAGAACAAAAUAUAAAUGAAACUUGAUGGGUGUAUGGAUAUCAAUUAGGAGAAUUUCAAUGCAUACAAACAAUUACUGUACUCUACACUUUUUAUGCCCCCGGAUCGAUAGAUCGAGGGUGUAUUGUUUUUGGCCUAUCUGUCUGUCUUUCUUUCUGUCUGUCAUUCUGUCCCAAAACUUUACUGUACAGUAAAGUUUUGCAAUAACUUUUGAAAUAUUGAACAUAGCAACUUGAUAUUUGGCAUGCAUGUGUAUCUCAUGGAGCUGCACAUUUUGAGUGGUGAAAGGUCAAGGCCAUCCUUCAAGGUCAAAGGUCAAAAAAUUAUGUCCCAAAACUUUACUGUACAGUAAAGUUUUGCAAUAACUUUUGAAAUAUUGAACAUAGCUACUUCAUAUUUGGCAUGCAUGUGUAUCUCAUGAAGCUGCACAUUUUGAGUGGUGAAAGGUCAAGGUCAUCCUUCAAGGUCAAAGGUAAAAAAAAGCGGCGCAUUAGGGGGCAUUGUGUUUCUGACAAACACAUUUAUUGUUUUAGGAUUAUGUGAUAUCAUUUAUCAAGGUAUUUGCACCCGUCCAUAAACUAAAUUUAUUUUGCAGGGAAUAUCAAUUCAACUAAUUUGAUUGUUUGUUCUACUUUGUUGUUAUCACAAAGCAUCUUCUGUUUUUCACAUGAUCUCAUUAUUAAUGUUACAUUUUAGAUUUAUUCAUCCAUGUUUGCAAGAUGCGGUGUAACAAUAUUGUUUUCAACUAUCUGUAAAUAGAUGUGGAAUUACCUUUGUCAUGCAUUUUAACAGGGACCUAUGCAAACAUAUAUACUAUAUGUUUGUUUAGUCCCUGGUUUUAUUUGCGAAAAAGUUUUAUUCUCAAUGAAUAAGUGUACAAGUAUCGUUUAUGUAUGAAUUGUUAUUUUGAGCAUUUGUCUUGUAUAUAAAAGAGGAAAAUUAAUGUGCAUCUUAAAAACUAUAUUUAUUGAUAAAAAAUGUAUAUCAUUCAUAUAUGAAUGUAUUCUCAUUGUAUAUAAAUUAUAUAUAGUUCUGUAAAUGCUUUAAAUACAACUGGAAAAGGUAUUGUUAAUAUCGUCCUUUGAUGUCUUUGUAUGUGCAAUAUUAUAAAUCACAUUAUUAUUUUAUAUAUAAUUGAGUGUAAUCUGUCACACUUUGUAUAUUUUAUUCGUUGCUGGCAACACACCAUAUUUAUGCCACAUGCUACUUUUGCAUAUUACUGCAGUUAUAUUUUAUAAUUUCUUAAAUCAUAAUUAUUUGCAUAUUUUGA